rnacentral:rRNA from 1 species
UGGGGAAUAUUGCACAAUGGGCGCAAGCCUGAUGCAGCCAUGCCGCGUGUGUGAAGAAGGCCUUCGGGUUGUAAAGCACUUUCAGCGAGGAGGAAGGUGGUGAACUUAAUACGUUCAUCAAUUGACGUUACUCGCAGAAGAAGCACCGGCUAACUCCGUGCCAGCAGCCGCGGUAAUACGGAGGGUGCAAGCGUUAAUCGGAAUUACUGGGCGUAAAGCGCACGCAGGCGGUUUGUUAAGUCAGAUGUGAAAUCCCCGGGCUCAACCUGGGAACUGCAUUUGAAACUGGCAAGCUAGAGUCUCGUAGAGGGGGGUAGAAUUCCAGGUGUAGCGGUGAAAUGCGUAGAGAUCUGGAGGAAUACCGGUGGCGAAGGCGGCCCCCUGGACGAAGACUGACGCUCAGGUGCGAAAAGCGUGGGGAGCAAAACAGGAUUAGAUACCCUGGUAGUCCACGCUGUAAAACGAUGUCGAUUUUGGAGGUUGUGCCCUUGAGGCGUGGCUUCCGGAGCUAACGCGUUAAAUCGACCGUCUGGGGAGUACGGCC